rnacentral:rRNA from 1 species
AAACAUCUUUUCUUGUUAGUUUUUGAAGUAUGGCCUGCCCGCUGACAUUUGGUGUUGAAGGGCCGCGGUAUUUUGACCGUGCAAAGGUAGCAUAAUCAUUAGUUCUUUAAUUGUGAUCUGGAAUGAAUGGCUUGACGAGGCACGGGCUGUCUUAGUGUUGAAUGUUUUAUUGAAUUUGGUCUUUGAGUUAAAAUUCUUAGAUGUUUUUGUGGGACGAGAAGACCCUAUAGAGUCUUGACAUUUGGUUUAUUUACUUGUUUGUUGUUUGUUUAUUUUUGGUGAGUGGGCUUUUUGUUUUGUUGGGGUGAUGGGAGGAAUGUACUUAACUCCUCUUAGUUUUGGUUAUAUUGAUUUAUAGUUGUUUGAUCCAUUUAUUUUGAUUGUAAGACUAAAUUACCUUAGGGAUAACAGCGU